AGAGUUUGAUCAUGGCUCAGGACGAACGCUGGCGGCGUGCUUAACACAUGCAAGUCGAACGGUGAUGACGGGGGCUUGCUCCUGUCUGAUCAGUGGCGAACGGGUGAGUAACACGUGAGUAACCUGCCCCAGACUCUGGGAUAACCCCGGGAAACCGGAGCUAAUACCGGAUACGACCCUUGCAGGCAUCUGUGGGGGUGGAAAGUUUUUUCGGUUUGGGAUGGGCUCGCGGCCUAUCAGCUUGUUGGUGAGGUAGUGGCUCACCAAGGCGACGACGGGUAGCCGGCCUGAGAGGGCGACCGGCCACACUGGGACUGAGACACGGCCCAGACUCCUACGGGAGGCAGCAGUGGGGAAUAUUGCACAAUGGGCGCAAGCCUGAUGCAGCGACGCCGCGUGAGGGAUGACGGCCUUCGGGUUGUAAACCUCUUUCAGCAGGGAAGAAGCGCAAGUGACGGUACCUGCAGAAGAAGCACCGGCUAACUACGUGCCAGCCGCCGCGGUAAUUC
rnacentral:rRNA from 1 species